CACGUAGGGCGCAAGCGUUGUCCGGAAUUAUUGGGCGUAAAGAGCUCGUAGGCGGUCUGUUGCGUCCGCUGUGAAAACUCGGGGCUUAACCCCGAGCCUGCAGUGGAUACGGGCAGACUAGAGGUAGGUAGGGGAGAAUGGAAUUCCCGGUGUAGCGGUGAAAUGCGCAGAUAUCAGGAGGAACACCAAUGGCGAAGGCAGCUCGCUGGGACGGUACUGACGCUGAGGUGCGAAAGCGUGGGGAGCAAACAGG
rnacentral:rRNA from 1 species